AGAAAAUAGAUACCCGGGUAGUCCCAGCUGUAAACGAUGCAGACUCGGUGAUGAGUUGGCUUUUGCCAAACUCAGUGCCGCAGGGAAGCCGUUAAGUUUGCCGCCUGGGGAGUACGGUCGCAAGACUGAAACUUAAAGGAAUUGGCGGGGGAGGCACCACCAAGGGGUGGAAGCCUGCGGUUCUAAUUAGGAGUCAACGCCGGAAAUCUUACCGGGGUCGGACAGCAGAGUGAAGGUCAAGCUGAAGACUUUACCAGACAAGCUGAGAGGAGGUGCAUGGCCGUCGCCAGCUCGUGCCGUGAGGUGUCCUGUUAAGUCAGGUAACGAGCGAGAUCCCUGCCUCUAGUUGC
rnacentral:rRNA from 1 species